GAGGUCUGUGUGAAGAGCCCUGGGUCUGAGGAGUACGUGCUGUUUGAUCACUGAGGCCAAGUUCAGAAACAGGCCUAGACUCACAGAUUUGCCAGUGGGUGAUAUGAACUGGCCCAGCUUGACUUGCCCCAGACCUGAGCCAAAGCAGGUGAUCUGGUCCUGAGAACACACUCAGCAACUGCUUCCCAAGAUAUAAGCAGAAUCGGCAAGGAUGAACUCUCCAGGGAUGUAACAGCAACAACAACACAGACUGCCAAGCAACUCAGUGUGCUGAGGAGCCGAGUCACUGCCAGACGCCAGGCAGAGAACACUGGGAGCUAACUCCUGCCCUGCCAG